rnacentral:misc_RNA from 1 species
UUUUAGUGAAAGAAGCCCACAGACCCACUCUUCUUUCCCCGCCCCAUUUCAGGAGCGGCCUCAUCUUCUUCGUGAGAAAAAGACUACACCUUCAAAAAGAAGACAACUCAAAACUUUAGAAUACAAAUAAGAUCAAAAAGGCCAUCAUUAAGGCAAAUAAGGCAAUAGCUUCCGUUAGAGCAAAUCCCAAAAUGGCAUAACCAAAUAAUUGUUUAGCUACUGAUCGGAGUACGCCAAUUAACCCCCGCCCCACCAUAGAUUAACGAGUUCCAGACACUGAACGUAAUUACUACUAUUUAUACCCAAUUCAGCUAAAUCCAUAUAUAUUGUGGCGAGAAGAUCAACAUUGUUUGUAGGUACCAAAGUCUCAAGAAUCUGAUAGACAGAUUUUCCAUUUGGAAGUUCUACGCCAUUGCUAUUAAAUAAGGGGGUUAUAACUUUAUUGGUCAGUUGCUCCUUGAUUGUAUCCGAAACUGACUCAUCCACACGAUCUACGUAGUUCUCCAUGGUCAAAUUUCGCAGCCUGGAAACUCUCCAACUCGCUAGUAUGAAAAUAAAAGACGGUAAAGCAAGUCCGGAAAUUCUAUCAAUAAGAUAGUUUAGAACUAAAUCUGACAUACUCAUAGUGCAUUCCACUUUAAUGUAAAAGAAAUUCAAAUGUUAUAACUCCAGAUUCGGCACCGUCAUCAUUGUGCCCCUCGCCACCCUCAACUGCCACACCCUCACGGCUUUCCCGGAACUUUUUCAACUCAACAGCUCGAAGUGGAAUCGAACCACGAAGGAUUUUCAGUCCUUUGCUCUAACCAGCUGAGCUACCUAAACCACUUUCCUAAAGUCUCUUUUCUU